rnacentral:RNase_P_RNA from 1 species
GAGGAAAGUCCGGGCUCCUCAGGACAGGAUGGUCGAUAACGUCGACCGGCCGCGAGGUCAGGGAAAGUGCAACAGAAAGCAGACCGCCGAACGGUCCUUCGGGACGCGUGGCAAGGGUGAAACGGUGCGGCAAGAGCGCACCAGCGGUCGAGGUGACUCGAUCGGCUUUGUAAACCCCAUCCGGAGCUAGACCAAACAGGUUGCAGUCGUCGAGUUCGCUCGACGCGCGAAGUCGUCCGCUUCGUUAUCGACAUCCGGGUAGGUCGCGAUUGAGGCGACGAGCAAUCGUCGUGCACAGAUAGAUGGUCGUCGACGCCCCAGCGGCGUUACAGAACCCGGCUUA